GAUGAACGCUGGCGGCGUGCCUAAUACAUGCAAGUCGAGCGAACGGACGAGAAGCUUGCUUCUCUGAUGUUAGCGGCGGACGGGUGAGUAACACGUGGAUAACCUACCUAUAAGACUGGGAUAACUUCGGGAAACCGGAGCUAAUACCGGAUAAUAUUUUGAACCGCAUGGUUCAAAAGUGAAAGACGGUCUUGCUGUCACUUAUAGAUGGAUCCGCGCUGCAUUAGCUAGUUGGUAAGGUAACGGCUUACCAAGGCAACGAUGCAUAGCCGACCUGAGAGGGUGAUCGGCCACACUGGAACUGAGACACGGUCCAGACUCCUACGGGAGGCAGCAGUAGGGAAUCUUCCGCAAUGGGCGAAAGCCUGACGGAGCAACGCCGCGUGAGUGAUGAAGGUCUUCGGAUCGUAAAACUCUGUUAUUAGGGAAGAACAUAUGUGUAAGUAACUGUGCACAUCUUGACGGUACCUAAUCAGAAAGCCACGGCUAACUACGUGCCAGCAGCCGCGGUAAUACGUAGGUGGCAAGCGUUAUCCGGAAUUAUUGGGCGUAAAGCGCGCGUAGGCGGUUUUUUAAGUCUGAUGUGAAAGCCCACGGCUCAACCGUGGAGGGUCAUUGGAAACUGGAAAACUUGAGUGCAGAAGAGGAAAGUGGAAUUCCAUGUGUAGCGGUGAAAUGCGCAGAGAUAUGGAGGAACACCAGUGGCGAAGGCGACUUUCUGGUCUGUAACUGACGCUGAUGUGCGAAAGCGUGGGGAUCAAACAGGAUUAGAUACCCUGGUAGUCCACGCCGUAAACGAUGAGUGCUAAGUGUUAGGGGGUUUCCGCCCCUUAGUGCUGCAGCUAACGCAUUAAGCACUCCGCCUGGGGAGUACGACCGCAAGGUUGAACCUCAAAGGAAUUGACGGGGACCCGCACAAGCGGUGGAGCAUGUGGUUUAAUUCGAAGCAACGCGAAGAACCUUACCAAAUCUUGACAUCCUUUGACAACUCUAGAGAUAGAGCCUUCCCCUUCGGGGGACAAAGUGACAGGUGGUGCAUGGUUGUCGUCAGCUCGUGUCGUGAGAUGUUGGGUUAAGUCCCGCAACGAGCGCAACCCUUAAGCUUAGUUGCCAUCAUUAAGUUGGGCACUCUAAGUUGACUGCCGGUGACAAACCGGAGGAAGGUGGGGAUGACGUCAAAUCAUCAUGCCCCUUAUGAUUUGGGCUACACACGUGCUACAAUGGACAAUACAAAGGGCAGCGAAACCGCGAGGUCAAGCAAAUCCCAUAAAGUUGUUCUCAGUUCGGAUUGUAGUCUGCAACUCGACUACAUGAAGCUGGAAUCGCUAGUAAUCGUAGAUCAGCAUGCUACGGUGAAUACGUUCCCGGGUCU
rnacentral:rRNA from 1 species